rnacentral:rRNA from 1 species
UACGUAGGUGGCAAGCGUUGUCCGGAAUUAUUGGGCGUAAAGCGCGCGCAGGCGGUCCCUUAAGUCUGAUGUGAAAGCCCACGGCUCAACCGUGGAGGGUCAUUGGAAACUGGGGGACUUGAGUACAGAAGAGGAAAGCGGAAUUCCACGCGUGGCGGUGAAAUGCGUAGAGAUGUGGAGGAACACCAGUGGCGAAGGCGGCUUUCUGGUCUGUAACUGACGCUGAGGCGCGAAAGCGUGGGGAGCAAACAGG